GCCCCAGGGGACGCGGCUCGGGUUUGGGGGAGACUUCCGGAGAGCUGCUUGUCCCCCAAAUUAUGGAGGCGAGGCGGCGGCAGCUCCUUUCCUGGGAAAUCUUUUUCGGCACCCAGAUUUCAGUUGUACGGACCCAUGUGAGACAGGGGAUGCUCUUCCGGGCAGCUGAAGCAAGGAAGAGCAGGGCCCAAAUCCACGAUCCACAGCGGCGACCUUGUGUCUGACAAGUCGUUGGCUCACAAGGGGAUUGAGGAGUCAUGGAGGAAGACCGUAAAGGAUGCAGGUCGUUACCUGAUCACAGGUGCAUAUUAAACAGAGCCACUGGGUGAGUCUUGUAUUACAUCUGCCACCGCUACAGGAGACGUACAGGUCUAAUGCCCACCCGAAAAGAACCCCUUCCCC